GUGAGGGAAGGGGUGAUUAGUGACAGAGUGAGGGGGUGACAGGUGACAGAGUGAGGGAAGGGGUGACUAGUGACAGAGUGAGGGAGGUGGUGACUGUCACUAGUCACCACCUCCCUCUGUCACUACUCCCUCCCUCUGUCACUAGUCACCCCCUCCGUCCCUUACUCUGUCACUAGUCACCCCCUAACUCACUCUGUCACUAGUCAACCCCCUCUCUCACUCUGCCACCAGUCACCCCUUCCCUCAC